AUUAGUUUUAUUUUUAAGAUGGAAACACCCAAUCAAAGCACAUUUUUGGUUUCCUUCAAAAAUAGUAUAAUGCAUCUUUAUUUAUUAAACGAGGUAUAAUUAUAAAAAAUUGCUGCGCUAUUAAAAACCAGAAAAGGAAGUAAUAUUAUCAUCAUAAGGUAGAUUAAGCGAAGAAAUUGGAUGUGUCCGGAUGUAAUGAAUGAUCUAUAGAUGUAACUCGGGAUUUAACAAUGGGACUUGGUAAACGUAGGCAGGAGGACCCACCCAAACAAAAAUUAUCCUUUACUUCAUUGAACUACACACGUACUAAACUAACAUUAUACACCCUUCACUUGAGGUGGGUGAAACCAGUUUGGGAGGUCAGGGUCACGAUUUCUCUAUUAAUUAGUGUAAUAGUUAGUAGUCUUUUCUUUACUUUUCGUUUAAACGAAGCGAUAACAGCGUUUCUUAGAAAUGACAAUCGUAAACCUCAUAAUUAUAAGUCGAUUUUAACACCAUCAUAUACUGUUUGAUUAUAUUAAAAAAUAUAUAUAUAUAGCUAAGGAAUGUUAUUUUCUUGAUUACUUUUAUACUAUAAUCGACACCUACACAGAAAUCUGAAUUAUU
rnacentral:lncRNA from 1 species